rnacentral:rRNA from 1 species
CUACGGGUCGCACCAGUGGGGAAUAUUGGACAAUGGGGGAAACCCUGAUCCAGCAAUGCCGCGUGUGUGAAGAAGGCCUGCGGGUUGUAAAGCACUUUCGGUUGGGAGGACUGCUUCUAGCACUAAUAUUGUUGGAAGUUGACGUUACCUUCAGAAGAAGCACCGGCUACCUCCGUGCCAGCAGCCGCGGUAAUACGGAGGGUGCAAACUUUAAUCGGAAUUACUGGGCGUAAAGCGCGCGUAGGCGGCUAGAUCAGUCGGGUGUGAAAGCCCCGGGCUUAACCUGGGAACUGCAUCCGAUACUGUCUAGCUUGAGUACAGGAGAGGAGAGUGGAAUUCCACAUGUAGCGGUGAAAUGCGUAGAUAUGUGGAGGAACACCAAUGGCGAAGGCAGCUCUCUGGCCUGAUACUGACGCUGAGGUGCGAAAGCGUGGGGAGCAAACAGGAUUAGAUACCCCCGUAGUC